CUUUAAGAGGAAAAAUUUGACUGAUUGCAACCUCUUUUUCAAUUUAAUUGGAUAAAUAAAAUGCUAAAGCAGUGUAA
rfam:Flavobacteriaceae bacterium CG1_02_35_72 cg1_0.2_scaffold_3236_c, whole genome shotgun sequence.